UACAGAGGUCUCGAGCGUUGUUCGAAUUCAUUGGGCGUAAAGGGUGUGUAGGUGGCGCUGUAAGUCGGGUGUGAAAUCCUGAGGCUUAACCGGGAAAGGUCGUCGGAUACUGCAGGACUAGAGGACGGUAGAGGCGUGUGGAAUUCCGGGUGUAGUGGUGAAAUGCGUAGAGAUCCGGAGGAACACCAGUGGCGAAGGCGACACGCUGGGCCGUACCUGACACUGAGGCGCGAUAGCAUGGGGAGCAAACAGG
rnacentral:rRNA from 1 species